UGCGACGGAGACGAAGUACGUCGUACGGAGUACAAAGAUAGUAAGUGUCUAGCGGCGGACGGGUGAGUAACGCGUGAGCAACCUGUCCCUUACAGGGGGAUAACACAGCGAAAGUUGUACUAAUACCGCAUAAGACCACAGAGUGACAUCGCUCAGGGGUCAAAGGAGCAAUCCGGUAAGGGGUGGGCUCGCGUCCGAUUAGAUAGUUGGUGAGGUAACGGCCCACCAAGUCGACGAUCGGUAGCCGACCUGAGAGGGUGAUCGGCCACAUUGGGACUGAGACACGGCCCAAACUCCUACGGGAGGCAGCAGUGGGGAAUAUUGGGCAAUGGGGGAAACCCUGACCCAGCAACGCCGCGUGAGGGAAGAAGGUUUUCGGAUCGUAAACCUCUGUCCCAGGUGAAGAGGAAGAGACGGUAGCCUGGGAGGAAGCCCCGGCUAACUACGUGCCAGCAGCAGC
rnacentral:rRNA from 1 species